rnacentral:lncRNA from 10 species
UUUCUAAGCAGAUCCAGAAUGAGCCUGAGAUGCCUGCACCCUGAUCUCAUCAGUCAGUCCAGGGAAGUGUUCCUGGUGCCCGUGUCACCACCAGAAUCUCAAGGACGGGGAGAGCAAACACAGAAAAGGUGAGUGCUAGUUCCACAUAGCCACAGGGAUUAGAGUGGUGGAUCUCAGCACCGAUAGCGCCUUUAGGAUCACCUGGAGCUGCUAAAACUCGCCCAUAGCCCAGCCUGCACCCAAACCAGUUAAAUCAGAAUUUCUGUGGGUGGGACCCAGCCUUAGCCUGUGAAAGCAACACUGGUGAUUCAGUGUGCAGUCAGGACUGACAGCCACUGCUCUGGGGGCUUUCCAAAGGCAGAGCCUUCAUGAUUUAUUUCCAUCAGAAAUGAAUUGAAAUCAACCAACCAACCAAUAUUUAUUGGGUGCCUACUACAGUGGUGAUCAAACUUUGCUUGCAUGAGAAUCACUGGGACUGUGAUCCCAACACUUUGGAAGGCUGAGGCGGUGGAUCACCUGGGGUCAGAAGUUCGAGACCAGCCUGACCAAUAUGGUGAAACUCCGUCUCUACUAAAAAUACAAAAAUUAGCCAGGCCUGGUGGCGGGCCCCUGUAAUCCCAGCUACUCGGGAGGCUGAGAUGGGAGAAUCACUUGAACCUGAGAGACGGAGGUUGCAGUGAGCCGAGAUUGUGCCACGGCACUCCACCCUGGGAGACAGAAUGAGACUCCGUCUCAAAACAAAACAAAAUUAGCCGGGCCUGGUGGUAUGUGCCUGUAAUCCCAGCUACUCGGGAGGCUGAAAUGGGAGAAUUGCUUGAACCCAGGAGGUGGAGGUUGCAGUGAGCCGAGAUUGCACCACUGCACUCCAGCCUGGGCGACAGAGCACAACUCCAUCUCAAAAGAAAAAAAAAAUCACUGGGAGGGCUGUUCACUCAAAGAGGCUGGGCCCCACUCUGAGAGUUUCUGAUUCAGUAGGUCUGGCACAGGGCUUGAGCAACGGGAAUGUUAAAGCCACCAGGUGCUUCCCAGAUUCAGCCAGGGCUAAAAAUGAUGCUACAGAAACCUAGGCCCUUCUGCUGGUCCCUAGCUCCCUCCUCCAGGGCCCUCGCAGGGACACUUUUCUCAGAAGCAAGGUUGGGAGAAAGCACUGUGCAUGCAUAGCUCCAGCCUCUGUGGUCCCCCUUCUGGAGCCAGCUGGGCUGCAGCGAGGGCACAUUCUGGACCAUUUGCUGCCAGGAGGUGAACAGCCCGCCUGCUGAGCCUGGCCUGGUGAGUGUACAGGCUAACACAGGGUUGAAGGGUUAGCAGCCCCCUUGGCCACAGGCCUGGCCUUUGAUCUCCAUCCAUCUACCUCCUACCUCUCUCUCCCUCCACUGGUUCCCAACUUGGGCACCCCCAAACCCCAGCACUCACACAAUCUUCCUGCUCUUUGCCACCUCUGGGAUCCUGUGCCUGCCUUCUUCUGGGCCCUGCUUUGGGGGAUAGAUCUGUCUUCCCUCAUGUGAUUGAGGGCCUCAAGGGCAAGUGUUCCUUUUUCACUCCAGCACUCAUUUUGCAGUUGGGGAAAUUGAGGUCAGGAGAGGUAAUGCACUUUGCCCAAGGUCACUCAGCUUGUAAGUGAUGGAACAGAGAUUCUAAUCUAGUUUGCCUGACUCAGUCUGAGCUCUCUGUGAGUGAUGCCAGGCUUAUGGUCCAAGUGCUGGGUGGCAGUCCUAACAGAAGCUCUGAGCUCAGAAGACAUUAGCUCCUUAGGCGAAGGACAGACCAAGGGACACUGGAGCCCAGGUUGCGGGAUGGCUUUGGCCGUAUCUGUAAUCCUCCUGGGCCUCAGUAUUCCUCAUCUGCAAAUUUAAAGAGUAACUGUUGCUCUGUUUGGCCCAAGAAGAUUCAAAGUGGGAGCCUUUGAGCUUGGAAACUGCAACAUGCAAUUAAAAAUAUAAGACAUGAUGAGUGGAAGCAGAGUCCUUUGCCCUGGAUGUGUCUCAUUUUGUCUUUGAGCCUCAAUGUCCUGCCCUGUGAGCUGGGAUCAAUGAUGCUGACCUACAGGGUCACUGUGAGCAAGGGUCUGAGGUUGGUUGUGGGCUGACCUGGACCAUGUCUGCACCUGCCUAUGAACCAGAUUGCAACCAGCUCAGAAAAUCUCCUGGGAGAGGACAUUUUCAGCUCACCCGGAACUUGUCACCUGUCCAGUUUGUUGCCCUCAGCAGCAGUUCCAGGGCAGCCUCUAGUACGGGAACUGAGGUGCUCACGGAGAUGGUGGAGGUGGUCAGGGAAGGAAGUGGUCA